UCGAACGGUAGCACAGAGAGCUUGCUCUCGGGUGACGAGUGGCGGACGGGUGAGUAAUGUCUGGGAAACUGCCUGAUGGAGGGGGAUAACUACUGGAAACGGUAGCUAAUACCGCAUAACGUCGCAAGACCAAAGAGGGGGACCUUCGGGCCUCUUGCCAUCAGAUGUGCCCAGAUGGGAUUAGCUAGUAGGUGGGGUAAUGGCUCACCUAGGCGACGAUCCCUAGCUGGUCUGAGAGGAUGACCAGCCACACUGGAACUGAGACACGGUCCAGACUCCUACGGGAGGCAGCAGUGGGGAAUAUUGCACAAUGGGCGCAAGCCUGAUGCAGCCAUGCCGCGUGUAUGAAGAAGGCCUUCGGGUUGUAAAGUACUUUCAGCGGGGAGGAAGGUGUUGUGGUUAAUAACCGCAGCAAUUGACGUUACCCGCAGAAAAAGCACCGGCUAACUCCGUGCCAGCAGCCGCGGUAAUACGGAGGGUGCAAGCGUUAAUCGGAAUUACUGGGCGUAAAGCGCACGCAGGCGGUCUGUCAAGUCUGAUGUGAAAUCCCCGGGCUCAACCUGGGAACUGCAUUCGAAACUGGCAGGCUAGAGUCUUGUAUAGGGGGGUAGAAUUCCAGGUGUAGCGGUGAAAUGCGUAGAGAUCUGGAGGAAUACCGGUGGCGAAGGCGGCCCCCUGGACAAAUACUGACGCUCAGGUGCGAAAGCGUGGGGAGCAAACAGGAUUAUAUACCCUGGUAGUCCACGCCGUAAACGAUGUCGACUUGGAGGUUGUUCCCUUGAGGAGUGGCUUCCGGAGCUAACGCGUUAAUUCGACCGCCUGGGGGAGUA
rnacentral:rRNA from 1 species